CUCGCCGUGAGGUUUAAGAGGGCUGAAGGAAGGUGCAGGCAAACCUCUGCCCCAACGCACAGAAACCAUUUCAGGCUGAACACGGAGGAUAAGGCUGCUAAACAAGCCAAAGUCCAAUAACUGCGCGGAAUCCGACACAGUAAAAAUGGUGGGGACAUGGAGGGAAAGAACGUGUG
rfam:Blautia sp. YL58, complete genome.